rnacentral:rRNA from 1 species
GAUGAACGCUGGCGGCGUGCUUAACACAUGCAAGUCGAACGGGAUCCCAGGAGCUUGCUCCUGGGUGAGAGUGGCGAACGGGUGAGUAAUGCGUGACCGACCUGCCCCAUACACCGGAAUAGCUCCUGGAAACGGGUGGUAAUGCCGGAUGCUCCAGUUGACCGCAUGGUCCUCUGGGAAAGCUUUUGCGGUAUGGGAUGGGGUCGCGUCCUAUCAGCUUGAUGGCGGGGUAACGGCCCACCAUGGCUUCGACGGGUAGCCGGCCUGAGAGGGCGACCGGCCACAUUGGGACUGAGAUACGGCCCAGACUCCUACGGGAGGCAGCAGUGGGGAAUAUUGCACAAUGGGCGCAAGCCUGAUGCAGCGACGCCGCGUGCGGGAUGACGGCCUUCGGGUUGUAGACCGCUUUUGACUGGGAGCAAGCC